rnacentral:rRNA from 1 species
GUGGUUUAAUUCGAUGAUACGCGAGGAACCGUUACCUGGGCUCAAAUGUAUGUUGACGUAUUCUGAAAGGGAUACUUCUUCGGACAAUAUACAAGGUGCUGCAUGGUUGUCGUCAGCUCGUGCCGUGAGGUGUCGGGUUAAGUCCCAUAACGAGCGCAACCCCUAUCAUUAGUUGCCAUCAGGUCAAGCUGGGGACUCUAAUGAAACUGCCUACGCAAGUAGUGAGGAAGGUGGGGAUGACGUCAAAUCAGCACGGCCCUUACGUCCAGGGCUACACACGUGCUACAAUGGCCGGUACAAAGGGCAGCUACCUGGUGACAGGAUGCUAAUCUCAAAAGCCGGUCUCAGUUCGGAUCGGAGUCUGCAACCCGACUCCAUGAAGUUGGAAUCGCUAGUAAUCGUGGAUCAGCAUGCCACGGUGAAUACGUUCCCGGGCCUU